AAUGGAAUGCAACCUUAUCUCCCCCAAUACUCUCUCCUCUCCUCUCCACUCACUCAACCUAUCUCGCGCCUCUCCCAGUCUCCCCACCCCCGCCGCAUCUGCCGUGCAUGUUGAAAAGCUCAUGUCGCAACCGCGCGACUCUACCCGCCGAACACCGCAUUCGUCGCAUGCAUCGGCGGUUGCCGCGUGAGGAAGGUCACCACUGGUCCCACGACAGCCUCAGCUGGAGGAGGAAAAUAGGUCCAUAGUGAUGGACGCUCAAGUAAGAGGAGCGGCCCCAAUAGUGGCGGCCUCGAGCACGGGGAUAAGUGCAGGUUGGGGAUGCAGGAGAGGUGCAACACGGGGUUUGGAGGUCUGACGAGCUGGGUGCAGCGCGACCGACAGUGACGGACGCAGGGACGCGUUGAUCCGGGCAUGGGUGCUCAAUCCGGUCCCGUUCAGGCCGGAUCCGCGGCGGUGCUCAUCUCCGGCGAGGUGGCCUGUGACUCGCGGGACAAUGGCGGUGCAAGACCAUGGGAGGAGCUCAUCUCAUGCGGCUGGGGCGCGAGGUCUUAUUGGCUUCGGUUGCCGGUGGCUUGACGUAGGGGUGGCCAGGGUCCGGCGCCAUGCAGGCUCUUCGAGGGUGAGGAAGCAGACGGCGAUGACAACUUUGAGGCUGGCAGGGGUGUUGUCUCUGCGUUUGAUGGUCGUUGUGAAUGCCGUGGGCUCCAACGCGAACGCCGUUGGCUCCCUCCCCUACAGGUAAUUCCCCUAAAUUGUACCCCUUGAAAUUGCCAUGAUUAUCCCAGGGAGAGGUACAACCUUUUUCUUUUUGAGAUUUAGAGUAGUAAAGCUACUCUGCUGAAACAACAAAUUUAGAGAUCAUAAGCGGGCGAGGCAGUCUAGUACGUUCGCAAUCCUCUCCCAGUCUUCCAAAUUCCUGGACAACGCUACAAGCCCAUCAGCAAGGGCAUUGCACAAUCUCCACACACUUCUAAUACUAUGAUCUGAGAAGUUUGUCAGUGCUUGCUUGAUGUUUCUUGGAAGUCCAUAGCAGGGGUAGAGGGACUGCUUCCCUGUCAUCAUUUCCUUAAUCCGAAUUUGGCAGUCAAGUUCCAAAAUCACGGCCCCCUAUAGAUCCUCGAGAGUGCAUCCAACAAAAUAAGGGCUGCUUUUGCUUUGGCCUCCUCAACACUAUGUCUAGGUGACGUAUUCUAACAGAUAGAAAUAACAACAUGACCUCUACUGUCCCUUGCAAUAGCACCUGCAGAAUGUUCACCCAUUUACUCCAAGUAUGAGGCUACAGAAUUUAGUUUGAUUGAUCCCAAGGCCGGGCCCGUCCAGUGCAAGUGCUGCGUGGUGGGGCAGCGGGGCUGCUGUACCACAAUGGCACCCACACCUUUUCCUGAUUCAUGACCACCACUCAUUGCCGCUUAUUUAAAUUCUUCAAAAUACCUCACAAGAACUGCACAGAUUCCAUAAUAGAUUCUUUGCCUACACUGCGAAUGCAGUCCUCAUGCAGGCACAACCUUUUUUUUGGUAUUCAUACAAAUCACUUUGUAUAUACUUUGCAGAUUGCUUGGCAAUUUUUGUUGGUCAAUAACCACCAUUCUUUGAUUGGGCAUGUGUUGGUACAGAAUAACAAUAAGGUUAUAGAGACCCGACUCAAAAAUAUCUAUUCUUUGAUUGGGCAGUACCUCCGGACUAAAAAUUAUGGCGAUGGAAAAUGUUCUCUAAACUGAACUAAAAAACCCCCACCAAUUUUUAGCCAUGAACAUUUUGCCAAAGAACCAAGUCAUACUAUAAUGUAUACACCCAAACUUGCAACUUGCUUCUUCCUUCCUCUAUCACCUCGUUGAAGGAGAUGUUAAAAGCACUCAUUUAGCAAAGUUUUCUUCCUGGACAAACGCAUCAGGUUAACAUCAGAAAUGAGAAUUUUCUAAGAAUCUUGAACCUUGCCCACUCUUUAAUGUAUUGUCUAUUAGGUAGUAGAGCCACCAAAGUUGCUGAAACUAAUGGUAGCAAAAAAAGAUAAGCAUCAGUUUCGCCUUCACAAAGAGCAUGUUCGUACUACUAUCAUGUCUAUAGAUGGCUACUACAACAAUCUGUAGUCAUAGGAAUAGGAAAAAAGACUUAAAACCCGAUUGAGCCAAAAAGCACAUGCUCAGAUUAUAGCCUUGCCCAAAGAUACAUGGUCAUACCAUAUAUAAUUUCAUUCACACAAAAAAGACCAUAUAUAAUUUCUGUGAAGAGUUUGCACAUGUACCUAUAAUAUUGAUAUUCUGAUUACAUUAUGUAUACCAUUCGUCCAGUGGUUGUUAAUAUGCUUAUCUAGCACGUUUAGUUUUCCUUAUGCACUGUCAUAUACUAUCCAUAGAAAUGACAAAUAAACAUACUUAAUUCUUGCUGCAAUUACUUCAACAUACAUGUUUUACAUGCCAAAAGGAGGACCAGAAGACUCGGUGCAUGUCACAAACUCACCAUGAUGCGGUCUAGACCAUUGUGAUGCUAUUAUUCCUAAUGACUGAUAGGCACUGGUCUCCAUUCGCUUGCAUCCAUCUCUAACCUAGACACCAUUGGCACCGAUAGAGGUUGUUGCAGGCACAAAAACCAUGUCGCAACACCACCAAAAGCGCACGGGGUUCAAAUAAAGAACACAAACCAUAUAUGUCACUCGUUGGCUAGAUGUAAGCAAUCAACUGAUAGUUUCUUUCUUUUUGUGGUGGUAAUGGUGCGAUAGAUUUGAACUUGGAGGAGGCGUUCUCUCCUUUUCCAUUCCAUCUCCUUGUCUGCUUCCAUCUGCUCCCUCCUGCACUACUCGCCACACAAUGGGGUGUUCCCUCUGCUCAAACAAAACAUACUGUAGCAUUGAACAGGUUAGAACACAUGACAUGGAUAACCACCUCACUAUUUAGUAAAAAAUUACAUCUGGAUCUUGAUCCAGGUCAAACAAAUGGACACAAAGACAAAAACAAGAUGCAAAUUAUAGUCCAAAAAUUUGGAUCGCCAACCCAACAAUUGGAGCUGAUUUUAGAAGAGGGAAAGAGGAGAGGGGCACUCACUUGCACGACAUCGGUCUAGUGGAGGCUGACACAGGUCCUCGUGCCAACGCCGGGGACACCAACUAUUGUAUAUUUGGGGUGGGGGAUUGUUUUUAGUUCAAUGGAGGGGUUGGGUAUCAGAUGUUUCGGAAAGUACUGAUUCUGUCCAGAUAUGUUGGGAGAGAAUGGAUGUGUCAACGGAAAAAAUUGGCAACUUCAGGAUCAGAUGAGGGGAAAAUCAGAGGGUAGGAGGCCUAUCAAUGGAUCGAUGGGGUGGGAGGGAACGAACCAACUAAUGAACGAUGUAUGAACUGCUCCAUUAUGAGUAGAGAUUACAUUAUUGCUAAAUUUAUACCACGUAGUUCACAUACCAACAAAAGUAAAAGUUCUUAUUUGAUUUAAGACAUUACUUUCGGGAUGACCCACAUCUUUAUAAAGGAGUAGAUGGUAUUAUUGGACAUUGUAUAACUGAGAAUGAAUAGGAACAAGUCCUAUAGAAGUGUCACUCCGAGGCUUAUGGAGGAGACCAUGCGGGAGACAGAACUGCACAGAAGGUAUUACAAUCUGGUUUUUAUUGGCCUACUCUUUUCAAAGAUGCACGUAAGUUUGUUCUAUCUUGUGACGAAUGUCAAAGAAUUGGAAAUACUGGUAGAUGUCAGGAAAUGCCUAUGAAUUAUUCACUUGUUAUGGAGCCAUUCAAUGUAUGGAUUUGACUAUAUGGGACCUUUUCCUUCCUUUAACGGGUAUACACAUAUUUUCAUUGCUGUUGAUUAUGUUACUAAGUAGUAGAAGAAAUUCUAACUUGUCAUGAUGAUCAUAAUACUUCCAUUAAAAUGCUUAAAGAAGUUAUUUUCCUGAGGUUUGGAGUUCCUAGAUAUUUAAUGACUAAUAGUGGUUCACAUUUUAUUCAUGGUGCUUUCCGUAAAUUGCUUGUUAAAUAUGAUGUCAACCAUAUAAUUGCAUCCCCCUAUCAUCCUCUAUCUAGUGGUCAAGUUGACUUGAGUAAGGAGAAAUAGAGUUAAUUUUGCAAAAGAACGUCAAUAGAUCUAGGAAGAAUUGGUCUAAGAAACUAGAUGAUGCACUUCGGGCUUAUAGAACUGCUUAUAAAAAUCCUAUGAGUAUGUCUCCGUAUAAAAUGGUUUAUGGAAAAGAAUUACUAUGAUUUUAAACUUUCCGGUGAAAAGAGGUUGUUUGAUAUUAGCUCAGUUGAUGAAUGGAGAACCCAAGCCUACGAAAAAUGCUAAAGUGUUUAAAGAAAAUGUUAGAAGAUGGCACAACAAAAGAAUAGAAAAACGUGAAUUUAAUGUAGGUGGCCAUGUAUUGUUAUAUUAUUAUUUAAGAUCUUUUGUAUGAAAACUUUUCUCCAAAUGGGAAGGACCCUACAUUUAGUGAAGAAGUUUAUUGGUCCCAUGCUAUCAAGAUCAACAACGCCAAAGGCACAAACCCAAGGGUGGUGAAUGGGCCAAGAAUUAAGUAUUACAUCUCAGGUAUGCCUAUAAAUAUUGAGACUAAUAUUAUUCAUUCCAUAACAUCGAAGCAGUACAUAAAGGAAACUUUUCAGAAUGUUCCAGAACCUUAAAAGGGAAGAGGUAUGUGAUACGGAAGUUUAUCUAAGGGCAAGUUCUACGAGAAGGUCAUUGACCCCUACCUUUCGGAGGUGAUGAAACACCCUCAAACCAUUGAGAUACGCAAGGGGUUGCUUCACAUUUGGGAUGUCCAAGGGCCAAAGAAGACCAAAAGCAUGAAGACUAGGCUCAAAGCACUAGAGCAGGAGAUCUUAAGGUGUCAAGGGAUGGUGGAACGCAGACUUAACGCCAACCCCUCUAUGAUUAUGGAAUUCACCCAUGAUCACAAGCUGGACAACGAUAAUAUUGGAUAGGCCAUAUUCAAGCUUCAUGAGCAAAUUGAGCACCUCCAAGCCAGAUCUAUGACCUACAAAACCAAAACUGUGAGUAUGAGUCUAGAAUUAAGGGGAUGAGUUUAGCUGCAAAUUUUUAGUAUUCUAGAGACACUCUCAUCCUUCUAUAACGGGGAGCCUAUGCUAGAAGACAAGCAUCUCACAUCAUCAACUUCAUCACCACCACCUCCUAAGGAGGAGACUUGAGUACACGGGUAUGGGCACUCCACUUGGCUUGUGCCAAGCUUGGGGGAGGUGCCCCGGUAUCGUAUCACCAGCUUUAUCUUUAUCAUCUAUUUUUAGUUUGAUCAUUUUGGUUAAAUCAUGAUCUAGUAGAAUAAAAGUUUUACUAUCAUCUAGCCUUUUAAGUUUUUGCUUGGUGAUCUAUCUAUGUAACCGAGUAUGAUAUAUAUAUAUAUAAUAAACAUUAGUUUUUGGUUGAGUGCUUUGCUUUCUAGCUUUGAUCUUAGAGAUGAAAAAGAAUAAAAAAAUAAAAUAUUAUAUAAUAAUCUUAUGGACAGUGAUAACUUCACAUAUAAGAAGUAUAAUGCAUGAAAUUUAUUGAAGGUUGACAAACAUAGUUUUGGUCGUUGUUGCAAUUAAUAUGAAGUAAUAAAGAAAGUGAGGUUUCACAUAUAAAUACACUAUCUUGGACAUCUUUUAUUGUUGUGAGCACUCAUUAAAAUAUUAUAUUCUAAUAAGUUGGUGUUAGACAAUAAAGACAACAUAAUGAGUUAUGUUUACUUACAUCCGAAUAGAAGCUAUAUUGUCAUGGAUCCUCCAACAUGUGGAGCUUCCUUAUUAUCUCAUGCUAGCCAAAAAUUCUGCACCAAGUAGAGAUACUACUUGUGCAUCUAGAAUCUUUAAAACCCAGUUUUUUCAUAAGAGUCUACUAUACCUAGCUAUGGGUUGAGUAUGAUCCUUGAAGUAAGUUGUCACCGGUGCAAAGCAAUAAAAAUUGCCCUCUAAAUAUGUAUUAUCUUUUAGUGUGAGGAAAAUAAGCUUUGUGCGAACUUGUGAUGGGAAAAAAAAAGCGACGGAAUGCAUAAUAAAGGUCACUAUCACAAGUGGCAAUAUAAUGUGAUGUUGAUUUGCAUUAAGAUUUUGUGCAUUCAAAUAAAAAGCAAACGACAACCUCUGCUUCCCUCCGCGAAGGUCCUAUCUUUUAUUUUAAUUAUCUACCUUCAAGAAAGGUUCAUGGUGAUCUUCAGCAUUCCUUUUAUUUUUCUCCCUUUUGGCAAGCAUCUUAUCUUGGCGAAAGAUCUAGAGACACAUAUCUAGUCGGAUGUAGGUGAUCAUGAGUUAUUGUUGCUAACUCUACCCUUUAGGUAAAUGGUUGGGAGGCAAAAUUAUAAUCCCCCAUCUUUCUAUGUGUCUGAUUGAAGCUCUUAUCCCAUAAGUAUUGUGUGAAUGUUAGCAAUUGUGAAAGACUAAAUGAUGGUUGAGUAUGUGAACUUGCUAGAUAAAAGGUUCUUACAUGGACUCUUUCUGACAUUAUGACAAAUUACAAUUGCAUCAAUGAAUGAGAUCAUAGUUGCUAGUUUUCAAUGAAGUUUACGGUUCAUACUUUACCUUCAGAAUGAAUUAUCACUUUAGCAUAAGAAUUUAUAUGACAGUAUAUUGUUGUUCUAAUGAUGAUCAUGAUGCCCUCAUGUGCGUAUUUUGUUUUAUCGACACCUCUAUAUCUAAACAUGUGGUCAUGAUUAUCGAUUUCGGCUUUCGCUUGAGGACAAGUGAGGUCUAAGCUUGGAAGAGUUGAUACGUCCAUUUUGCCUCAUGUGUUUAUAUGGAUAUUUAUUACAUUAUGGGCUGUUAUUACACUUUAUGAUGCAAUUCUAAUGCCCUUCUUCUCUUAUUUUGCAAGAUUUACAUGAAAAGGAGAAUGCCGGUAGCUGGAAUUCUGGACCGGAAAGGAGCAAAUCUGAGAUCCCUAUUCUGCACAACUCCAAAUGUCCUGAAACUUUAUUGAGAAUUAUUUUGGAAUAUAAAAAAAUAUUGGGUGAAGAAAUACAAGGAGGGGACCCACCAGGUGGCCACAAGCCCGGGGGAGUGCCCUACCCCCAAGGCACGCCCCCUGGGCUUGUGGGCCCCCUGACUAGCCUCCGGUGCCCAUCUUCUACUAUAUGAAGGGUUUUGACCUAGAAAAAAAAUAAGAGGAAGGCUUUUAGGAUGAAGCGACGCCGUCUCAAGGCGGAACCUGGGUAGAAGCAAUCUAGGUCUCCGGCGGAGCAAUUCUACCGGGGAAACUUCCGUCCGAGAUGGGGAAAUCGAAGCCAUCGUCGUCACCAUCUUCACUAGCACCAUAUCCACUCAAACUCUAGUAAAGCUCUUGUAUUGAAUCUUUGUCUCAAAACUUUAGAUUGGUACCUGUGGGUUGCUAGUACUGUAGAUUACUCCUUGUAGCUGAUGCUAGUUGGUUUAUUUGGUGGAAUAUCAUAUGUUUAGAUUCUUAAUGCCAUUUGAUACCCUAUGAUCUUGAACAUGAAUAUGUCUUGUGAGUAGUUACUUUUGUUCCUGAGGA